UGUGAAGUAGGUACGCUGUAAUCACUUAGCGCUGCGUAGAGACGCUCCUGUGAAGUAGGUACGCUGUAAUCACUUAGCGUUGCGUAGAGACGCUCCUGUGAAGUAGGUACGCUGUAAUCACUUAGCGUUGCGUAGAGACGCUCCUGUGAAGUAGGUACGCUGUAAUCACUUAGCGUUGCGUAGAGACGCUCCUGUGAAGUAGGUACGCUGUAAUCACUUAGCGUUGCGUAGAGACGCUCCUGUGAAGUAGGUACGCUGUAAUCACUUAGCGUUGCGUAGAGACGCUCCUGUGAAGUAGGUACGCUGUAAUCACUUAGCGUUGCGUAGAGACGCUCCUGUGAAGUAGGUACGCUGUAAUCACUUAGCGUUGCGUAGAGACGCUCCUGUGAAGUAGGUACGCUGUAAUCACUUAGCGCUGCGUAGAGACGCUCCUGUGAAGUAGGUACGCUGUAAUCACUUAGCGUUGCGUAGAGACGCUCCUGUGAAGUAGGUACGCUGUAAUCACUUAGCGUUGCGUAGAGACGCUCCUGUGAAGUAGGUACGCUGUAAUCACUUAGCGCUGCGUAGAGACGCUCCUGUGAAGUAGGUACGCUGUAAUCACUUAGCGUUGCGUAGAGACGCUCCUGUGAAGUAGGUACGCUGUAAUCACUUAGCGCUGCGUAGAGACGCUCCUGUGAAGUAGGUACGCUGUAAUCACUUAGCGUUGCGUAGAGACGCUCCUGUGAAGUAGGUACGCUGUAAUCACUUAGCGUUGCGUAGAGACGCUCCUGUGAAGUAGGUACGCUGUAAUCACUUAGCGCUGCGUAGAGA